GAUGAACGCUGGCGGCGUGCCUAACACAUGCAUGUCGAGCGUGAUUGUGUGGAUUGAAGCUUCGGCAGAGAGAAACACAUGAAAGCGGCGGACGGGUGAGUAACGCGUGGGCAACCUGCCCCAUACAGCGGAAUAGCCACUGGAAACGGUGAUUAAUGCCGCAUAAGACCACGGUAUCGCAUGGUACGAGGGUCAAAGAUUUAUCGGUAUGGGAUGGGCCCGCGUCUGAUUAGCUAGUUGGUGAGGUAACGGCUCACCAAGGCGACGACCAGUAGCCGACCUGAGAGGGCGGACGGCCACACUGGAACUGAGACACGGUCCAGACUCCUACGGGAGGCAGCAGUGGGGAAUAUUGCACAAUGGGCGCAAGCCUGAUGCAGCAACGCCGCGUGAGUGAAGAAGGCCUUCGGGUCGUAAAGCUCUGUCCUGUGGGAAGAAAAAAAUGACGGUACCACAGGAGGAAGCCCCGGCUAACUACGUGCCAGCCGCCGCCGUAA
rnacentral:rRNA from 1 species